ACUAGACUCGUUCAGAAACCGUUGCGCUGCUACAAUAAUUUUUAUUUUUUAUAGCGCAUUGCGUGCUGGCAGAAAGACAAAAGCCAGGCCCAGUGGAUGAAUGAAAGCCAGCCAGAAAGCGAGAAACAAGGAAGGAAGGUCCAAUAGCGCUGGCAGAGCAAAAGCCAGUCGUAAAAGUAUAAACAACAAAAGUGAUUAACAUAAAGCAUAAACAUGCAGUUCGCUGGGGCCUUAGCCCUAGGCACUUUUGAUGGUGAUGAUGCCCCUUGAUGGUAAUGGCGAUGGCGAUGGCGAUGGCGAUGGCGAUGGCGUUGUCGAUGUCGACGAAGAUGCCGCAAUGGAAAGCCGAGUCAGCAAGUCAAAAAUCAGACAAAACACGGCCCCAGACAAUAUAGCGAUAAUCCAGUGGAUCCAAUAUGAAUCAAAUGGAAACCUGCUGCAGUUUGAUGCCAUAAAGGCGUCUUAACGGUUCUCGCUUGUGGCCAAGUCGCAGUUGCGCUGCUGCUGAAAAGAAAAGAACCAAGGGAGCGCCCAAAGGUGUUGGAAAAAUACUAACAAGACCGCCGCGCAGAAAGAGCGAAGAAAGACAGAAGCUGAAAAAGACUGAGCAGCGUUUGCAUUAUGCGGUUUAAUAGCUUUUACAUAACACCUGACUGGAGACGAAGUCGGAGCAAAAGCAGCGGCUGCAACUGACCGACAGCCCACAACAACCUACGCAAAGUGCGUGGGUAGCAAGCGGCGGCGUCUUGAAGAGCCAAACCGAUCGAGUCAGCGGCUUGGAAAAUUGGCGCGUGCGAAUGCUCCUGAUGCCGGAGCUCGCUCGUGGUUAGCCACGGCUCUUCGCUGGAAGAAUCAAUGCUAAUCAGCGAGGGCUGGUCGAGAAGUCGGCAAGUGAAAGCAGGAAGACAAUGGUUUACGCAAUGGCCAGUCAAGUGACAAAAGCAUUUCACAAAAAUCAUAUCGAAAUUCACGAAUGCGAUUAAGCAGCGC